AGGGCGCAAGCGUUGUCCGGAAAUUUAUUUGGGCGUAAAAGAGCUCGUAGGCGGGUCUGUUGCGUCCGCUGUGAAAAACUCGGGGCUUAACCCCGAGCCUGCAGUGGAUACGGGCAGACUAGAGGUAGGUAGGGGAGACUGGAAUUCCUGGUGUAGCGGUGAAAAUGCGCAGAUAUCAGGAGGAACACCGGUGGCGAAGGCGGGU
rnacentral:rRNA from 1 species